GUAUCAUGGAGGAGCACAAGGGCACUCAACCGACAACUGCGGAGCACUCAGAGGAAGGGUGCGCGCUUUAAUUCGAAACGGGUGGUUGAAGAUCGAGGGAAAUGGUUCCCUCCCCAAUGUUACCUCAAACCCACUGCCUAACCAUAAUGCGGGCAGUGGUGUAAAUAUGAUAGAGUCUAAGGGAGAAGGAUCAACACCAGAAGUGGAUAAGCUGGUUCCAUACUUCGAGGAGAUUUUUACUGUGGCAACGAGGGAAGGCUACCUUUGCCCUCAGGUAGCGGGAUUCGA
rnacentral:misc_RNA from 1 species